rnacentral:rRNA from 1 species
UACGGAGGGAGCUAGCGUUGUUCGGAAUUACUGGGCGUAAAGCGCACGUAGGCGGCUUUGUAAGUUAGAGGUGAAAGCCCGGGGCUCAACUCCGGAACUGCCUUUAAGACUGCAUCGCUUGAAUCCAGGAGAGGUGAGUGGAAUUCCGAGUGUAGAGGUGAAAUUCGUAGAUAUUCGGAAGAACACCAGUGGCGAAGGCGGCUCACUGGAGCUGGUAUUGACGCUGAGGUGCGAAAGCGUGGGGAGCAAACAGGAUUAGAAACCCU